rnacentral:rRNA from 1 species
AUUGAACGCUGGCGGCAGGCCUAACACAUGCAAGUCGAGCGGAUGAAGGGAGCUUGCUCCUGGAUUCAGCGGCGGACGGGUGAGUAAUGCCUAGGAAUCUGCCUGGUAGUGGGGGAUAACGUCCGGAAACGGGCGCUAAUACCGCAUACGUCCUGAGGGAGAAAGUGGGGGAUCUUCGGACCUCACGCUCUCAGAUGAGCCUAGGUCGGAUUAGCUAGUUGGUGGGGUAAAGGCCUACCAAGGCGACGAUCCGUAACUGGUCUGAGAGGAUGAUCAGUCACACUGGAACUGAGACACGGUCCAGACUCCUACGGGAGGCAGCAGUGGGGAAUAUUGGACAAUGGGCGAAAGCCUUAUCCAGCCAUGCCGCGUGUGUGAAGAAGGUCUUCGGAUUGUAAAGCACUUUAAGUUGGGAGGAAGGGCAGUAAGUUAAUACCUUGCUGUUUUGACGUUACCAACAGAAUAAGCACCGGCUAACUUCGUG